rnacentral:rRNA from 1 species
AUGCCCUUCUCGAAGGUGGUCGACGGCUCCAUUGUUCCCCUGUGGCAGGUCCACCUCCCCAUCACCUUCGGCACGCGCUACAACUACCGCACCGAGCUCAUCAACUUCGAUGUCGUCUGCAUCAGCCUCCCGUACAACGCCAUCCUAGGGUAUUCGGCAACGCACCUCGGCUACAACGUCAUCAAGAUGCCUCGGAGCAGCGGCAUCCUCAUUGUGGUGGGAGACACCAAGGAUUCACUCUUGGCCCUCAAGUUUGCUUUCAAGGACGCGACGGACGCGAGGCCAGACGCAGAGGACGCCCCAAAGAUCCUAGAGGUCGCACCAGCAAAGAAUAAGCAACUAUUCUAUCAGGAUCAGGCCGAGAUGAAGCAAGUGCCAGUUGAGGACGGGGGCUCAGGCCCCGCCUUCACCAUAGGGCCUGGCCUCCCUCCAGACUAG